rnacentral:rRNA from 1 species
UAGAGGUCCGCCUGCCAGUGACUAUAUGUUUAACGGCCGCGGUAUUCUGACCGUGCAAAGGUAGCGCAAUCACUUGUCUUUUAAAUGGAGACCCGUAUGAAUGGCAUAACGAGGGCUUAACUGUCUCCUUUUUCUAGUCAAUGAAAUUGAUCUCCCCGUGCAGAAGCGGGGAUGUUCACAUAAGACGAGAAGACCCUAUGGAGCUUUAGACACAAGGACAGACUAUGUUAACCACCCCCUUACAAGGGAUAAAACUAAAUACCCCCUGCUCUGAUGUCUUUGGUUGGGGCGACCUCGGGGGAACAAAGAGCCCCCGAGUGGAGCGGAGGCACUGCCUCCCACACCAAGAGCCACUGCUCUAAGUAAUAGAAACUUUAACCUUACAGAUCCGGCAACGCCGAUCAACGGACCGAGUUACCCUAGGGAUAACAGCGCAAUCCCCUUUUAGAGCCCAUAUCGACAAGGGGGUUUACGACCUCGAUGUUGGAUCAGGACAUCCUAAUGGUGCAGCCGCUAUUAAGGGUUCGUUUGUUCAACGAUUAAAGUCCUACGUGAUCUG